rnacentral:lncRNA from 1 species
AAGCUAUCGCUGACUGCCGGUGCAUGUUGGAAAUGGGCCACAGGGCUGGGCAUGAUAUGAGCUGCCUGGACAUUGGAGGGGGCUUCCCCGGAAUGGAGGGCUCCGGGCCCAAGUUUGAGGAGGUUUUAGCACCUCUUACGAAUGAGUGUCUGAGCAGCCAAAAAAUAAAUAAUGAAUCAUCCAGGCAAAGGGGAAGAAAAAUGGACUUGGCCAGAGAUGGGGAAGAACGUACGCAAAAAGAUGAGGUCGUUCAGAUUGGAAGUUGGAUUGGAGGGCGGACCAAAGGAGAAGCUGCUGAAGUAGAUGUUAAAGAUGGAGAGAAGUGGACGGCAGAGACAUAGAGGAGGAAAAGUCAGCAAGACCCGAGAUGUGUAUGGAGAGUUAGAGUGUGGGAAGUGUGACAUGUAACUGAAUCGGAUGAUGGCAACUUUCACUGGGCAGUGAAAGGUCAGGUUGGUGGUAAAAGUCAUGAGUUGACUUUGGGGCAUCUUGAUAUAGUCACUUCCAAUAUCAUGUGUUUCAACAAGCCCGUGUUCCUUCCUGGUCAGUUCCCCCAGCUAGAGUGUGUUUUACA